GGGGUGGUGGCGCAGUUGGCUAGCGCGUAGGUCUCAUAAUCCUGACGUCGAGAGUUCGAGCCUCUCUCACCCCA
rnacentral:tRNA from 1 species